rnacentral:rRNA from 1 species
CGUUAGCGGCGGACGGGUGAGUAACACGUGGGUAACCUACCUAUAAGACUGGGAUAACUUCGGGAAACCGGAGCUAAUACCGGAUAAUAUUUCGAACCGCAUGGUUCGAUAGUGAAAGANGGUUUUGCUAUCACUUAUAGAUGGACCUGCGCCGUAUUAGCUAGUUGGUAAGGUAACGGCUUACCAAGGCGACGAUACGUAGCCGACCUGAGAGGGUGAUCGGCCACACUGGAACUGAGAUACGGUCCAGACUCCUACGGGAGGCAGCAGUA